UACAGGGGGGGCAAGCGUUGUUCGGAAUUACUGGGCGUAAAGGGCUCGUAGGUGGCCAACUAAGUCAGACGUGAAAUCCCUCGGCUUAACCGGGGAACUGCGUCUGAUACUGGAUGGCUGGAGUUUGGGAGAGGGAUGCGGAAUUCCAGGUGUAGCGGUGAAAUGCGUAGAUAUCAAGAGGAACACCUGAGGUGAAGACGGGUUGCUAGGCUGACACUGACGCUGAGGCGCGAAAGCCAGGGGAGCAAACGGG
rnacentral:rRNA from 1 species